AAGUAAACAUAAAGUGCAUUUGAGGUGGUUACCACUUCUCGAAGACUUUGACGUGUGUGGGACAUUAUCCUGGGGUAGUGCUGUUUUAGCAUAUCUAUAUCGAGAAAUGUCAAAGGUUGCUUUAAUGCAAAAUAAAGAGCUCAAAGGCUGUUUGACAUUGUUACAAGUUUGGGCAUGAGAGAGACUGGUUUUGAAACCGCGAUUAUGCGAGAUCCGAGAGUUGGAUGGACAGAUUCCACUAGGCUGCAGAUGGAAUGUCACUAAAGCCUAUAAUGAGGUCCCGGCUAGACAGUUAGACUUUUACAGGGGGGAGCUCGACCGAAUGAAAAUUUUUCAGUUCGAGUGGCAGCCAUACGCACCUUACCUACACCGUCUACCGCUGAUUUGUAUGGAGGGACACGGCAUAUGGCGGUCCAGAGUUCCUCUCAUUUGUUUCGAAAUUGUGGAGAUGCACGUACCCGAUCGUGUGUUUAGACAGUUUGGACUCACACAACACGCUCCACAAUUGGUCGAAAAAAUAGAGAGAAAGGCGGCUAAAGGUGGACAUCAGAUUAACUGGCAGCGCACGCAUCAAUCAUACAUAGCUCGGUGGAAUGAUCGGCAUCAACUUAUUAUCGAUCCGCUUUAUCC